UGUCCGCCCACAUGUUUCCGCCUAACUUUAGUUGGCAAGGAAACAUAUUAAAAUCAGUUUCUGUAGUUGAAGCCGAAAGCCAAGACCGCAGUUAUCUCCUUGUAGAAAAGCUGAGGCACACCACUUACGAGCAACUUUCACUCAACUCUAACUUGUUGCUUAUGCAAAAGCUGAGGCACACCACUUUCGAGCAACUUUCACUCAACUCUAACUCUAUACUUCUCGCUUAUGCAAUAAAAUUGGCUCGUAGCAAGCACACAAUUUUCUUACUAUAGUUUUAAAUCUUAGCAUCAAAUGUGGUAUAUAACAACUGCCUAAAUAGACAAAACACUUCUCGACGUUUCGACCUGAAGGCCUUCGUCAAUAUUUAAUGUUAAGUUGUUUGAAGACGCUGCAACGCUGCUCCUUGGUUAUAUUAGUUUUAAAUCUAUCUGAUUUUGGUAGGUCCAGAUGGGUAAAACCCGUGACCUGAUGUAUCUAUUCACUUGACUCAUAUUUUCACUGAAAUACUUUUUUAUGGUUUCACUUUUGAUCACAUGCAUGCCGGAAAUGGAGUAUGUAUAAUUCCAUGUAAUAAUCACUUUAUCGUGUUCGUCAUUUAAAAUUUAGCUGUCUUGAUGUAGGAAAAUCUUUACAAUGAAAAUUAAAGCAUAAAAUGUGAACUAAGCUGUCGAAAACUUGUACGGUUUACUUUCAAAUGUAUUUUAUAAACUUUAAAGUUUGCCGCUUACGUUAGCGUCUAUUUUAAGGUCUGUAUAACAAAUUUGUUUUGGGUUUAUAUGUGUUCAAUGUUUAGACAUUCGGCUCAUGACUUCAGACUACAAUU